CAAAAAACAAAAAAGGGAGAAGAGAACAGGGGAAGAAGGGAAAAAAGAAGAAAUUCAGAGGAAGAAAGAAAAGGGGAUAGAGGAAGAACAAAAGAAGGAAAAGAAGUGGCUUUCCCUCUCUGGCGAGCCAUAUCCUUAAUGGUCUUAAAUGAUCUAGUGAACUAUUUUUUCUUCAUUGGUCAACACUCUGUAGUUGAGCAACUAACUGAGACAGCACUUGCUAUCACCAACCAUGGACCAACAAGGCCACAUUCCUACUACAGUUUAGCAUGAUCUUACCAUAGCAAGGGACGGGCUAUGAUAAUGCCACUUCUGAAGUUGCUGUUUUAGGUUUUUCGAUAGGAAUCAAGUCUGCCACAUUAUGGU